CCUACGGGAGGCUGCAGUGAGGAAUAUUGGUCAAUGGGCGCGAGCCUGAACCAGCCAAGUAGCGUGAAGGAUGACUGCCCUACGGGUUGUAAACUUCUUUUGUAAAGGGAUAAUAUGAGUCACGUGUGCCUUGUUGUCUGUACUUUAUGAAUAAGCAUCGGCUAACUCCGUGCCAGCAGCCGCGGUAAUACGGAGGAUGCGAGCGUUAUCCGGAUUUAUUGGGUUUAAAGGGUGCGUAGGGGGCUUUAUAAGUUAGUGGUAAAAUAUUGGGGCUAAACCGUAAAAUGCCAUUGAUUCUGUCAGUCUUGAGUACAGUCGAGGUAGGCGGAAUUCGUGGUGUAGCGGUGAAAUGCUUAGAUAUAACGAAGAACUCCGAUAGCGAAGGCAGCUUACUAGACUGAGACUGACACUGAUGCACGAGAGUGUGGGUAGCGAACAGGAUUAGAUACCCGGGUAGUC
rnacentral:rRNA from 1 species